GUUCUAACUAGCAUUCAUGUACUCUCCUUAGUUCCAUUUUAUCUCAUUUCUCUCAAUUGCAAAGAUGGAGAACCUUCAUCUGUAACGUUAUAUUACCUACAUGAAAAAGUCCUUUUUAGAGAAGGGAUUCUUAGAUGAGCAAUUCAUUCAGUUGGAGGAGUUACAGGAUAAUGUAAACCCAAAUUUCAUCUAGGAAGUUGUAACCUUGUUCUUCAAGGACUCUGCUAGACUAAUCCUUAACAUAGAGUCAGCACUGAAAAAGAGCCCACUUGAUUUCAACAAGCUGGGACACCUACAUGCAUCAAUUCAAAGGUAGCAGUUCACAGCGUGU